UUGGGAGCGAAGGGACCAUGGCCAGGACGGAGACGGAAGGAAGAAACGGCAGUGCAGCAGCAGCAGCCACGGAGGCUGGGGGACAGGCAAGGAAAUAGAUCAUCUGUCAAGGCAACCAGAAUGUCAGACAAACCAGUUCAGCAAGAGCUGAAGGAAAUUGAAAACAGGAGAAUUAUUCCCUAGCUAUUUGGCAAAACAGGAGUGACAUUUCUGUUAAAUUCUAUAGAAAGAAAGACUAAGAUUUCAGUCCCUAGUGGCUCUUUGGAAGACAUUCAUUUCAUGUGCAAUUUCAUCUUACCUUCUGUUAGAUUCCGAAGCCUAAUGUUUUAAUGGAUGUUAACAUUAAACUUCAG
rnacentral:lncRNA from 11 species